AUUGAACGCUGGCGGCAUGCCUUACACAUGCAAGUCGAACGGCAGCACGGGGCAACCUGGUGGCGAGUGGCGAACGGGUGAGUAAUGCAUCGGAACGUACCUUUCAGUGGGGGAUAACGUAGCGAAAGUUACGCUAAUACCGCAUAUUCUGUGAGCAGGAAAGCAGGGGAUCGCAAGACCUUGCGCUGAUUGAGCGGCCGAUGUCAGAUUAGCUAGUUGGUGAGGUAAAGGCUCACCAAGGCGACGAUCUGUAGCGGGUCUGAGAGGAUGAUCCUCCACACUGGAACUGAGACACGGUCCAGACCCCUACGGGAGGCAGCAGUGGGGAAUUUUGGACAAUGGGGGCAACCCUGAUCCAGCCAUGCCGCGUGAGUGAAGAAGGCCUUCGGGUUGUAAAGCUCUUUCGGCCGGGAAGAAAUCGCACGGGCUAAUACCCUGUGUGGAUGACGGUACCGGAAUAAGAAGCACCGGCUAACUACGUGCCAGCCGCCGCCGUAAAAC
rnacentral:rRNA from 1 species